ACCCAAUCAGAAGAUGUCAUAACAAAGUCCAGAGUGAGACACCCAAUCAGAAGAUGCCAUAACAAAGUCCUGACAUGAGACACCCAAUCAGAAGAUGCCAUAACAAAGUCCUGACCUGAGACACCC